CCUACGGGAGGCAGCAGUGAGGAAUAUUGGACAAUGGGCGCAAGCCUGAUCCAGCCAUGCCGCGUGCAGGAAGAAGCAUCUAUGGUGUGUAAACUGCUUUUGUACGGGAAGAAACACCUCUACGUGUAGAGGCUUGACGGUACCGUAAGAAUAAGGAUCGGCUAACUCCGUGCCAGCAGCCGCGGUAAUACGGAGGAUCCAAGCGUUAUCCGGAAUCAUUGGGUUUAAAGGGUCCGUAGGCGGUUUGAUAAGUCAGUGGUGAAAGCCCAUCGCUCAACGAUGGAACGGCCAUUGAUACUGUCAGACUUGAAUUACUAGGAAGUAACUAGAAUAUGUAGUGUAGCGGUGAAAUGCUUAGAUAUUACAUGGAAUACCAAUUGCGAAGGCAGGUUACUACUAGUGGAUUGACGCUGAUGGACGAAAGCGUGGGGAGCGAACAGGAUUAGAUACCCUGGUAGUCCACGCCGUAAACGAUGGAUACUAGCUGUUGGGAGCAAUCUCAGUGGCUAAGCGAAAGUGAUAAGUAUCCCACCUGGGGAGUACGUUCGCAAGAAUGAAACUCAAAAGUGAAAGUUGACGG
rnacentral:rRNA from 1 species